rnacentral:tRNA from 1 species
CCCUGACUCCGGCCGGGGCACUGAGCCGCAGGCGGUUGUCGCCCGCCUGCAGAUCGGUCAGGCCACCGGCGUACAACCCCCAGGGCAGGGU